UGUUCAAGUGCUGACUGUGCCAGAGGGAGCAGUGUUCCCACUAAACACAGUGGAGGAUGUCGAGGCCAUGUGCGCCAAGCUGGGCGACGCAGAGUUCAAUUCUGCAAUUGUUGCCAUGGUUGCAGACAUUGGUGGAACUUCAUUGGAUGACAGUGUCAGAAGGAUGAUGGCAUUCAUCAUCACCAGUGCUCUGUCUCUCCAAUACAAUCUCUUUGGACAUCGUGGCAAGAAGAAGUUCCGAGACCUGCCUCUUUUUAAUGUUAUAUACGGGGCACUCAAAAGGAACACAUCCACUAAGGACAUUAACCAGAAAGAAGCAGAGGCGGCUCUGUCCAAGUGGUUUACGGGAGCCCGGGAUCGAGGUGGGAAUAGGGCUGCUAGAGCUCAGAAAGCACUUGGCAACACACCUGGCAACUUACAGGACAAUGGGGCACAGCCCCAAUAGGCAGAAUGUCAUCUGCCAACAUCUUUGGAUCUAUCGCGCGCACGCGCACACACACACACACACACACACACACACACACACACACACACACACACACACACACACACACACACACACACACACACACACACACACACACACACACACACACACACACACACUUUGGUAUAUCUCUCACACGCACACACUUUAGCUGUCCAUGUGCAAAUCCGGAAAUCCUGUUUUAUGUGACGCUGUUAUUUUUUCUUCAUCAGCGUUAAGGUUGAAUUGAUUUUGUUAUAGGGAUGGUAAGGACAGUUAAGUUGGUUCUUUUGUGUUGUGAGUUUAUAUAGUUUUUUUUUUAUGAGAUUGACAGUAAUAGUGUACAUAUAUUUCUUGUUUCUUUUUUGUUCUGA